AGCAGCCACGGUAAUUCCAGCUCCAAUAGCGUAUAUUAAAGUUGUUGCAGUUAAAAAGCUCGUAGUUGAAUUUUGGGAUCAAGUUGUUGGUCGUGCCUUGGUACGUACUGGUGACAUCGGUUUCUCCCUUCUGAAGAACCUUGAUGUCAUUAAUUUGGUAUCUUGGGGAAUCAGGACUGUUACUUUGAAAAAAUUAGAGUGUUUAAAGCAGGCUCACGCUUGAAUACAUUAGCAUGGAAUAAUGAAAUAGGACAUUUUGAUUCUAUUUUGUUGGUUUCUAGGAUCAACGUAAUGAUUAAUAGGGAUAGUUGGGGGCAUUAGUAUUCAAUUGUCAGAGGUGAAAUUCUUGGAUUUAUUGAAGACUAACUACUGCGAAAGCAUUUGCCAAGGAUGUUUUCAUUAAUCAAGAACAAAAGUUAGGGAAUCGAAGAUGAUCAGAUACCGUCAUAGUCUUAACCAUAAACUAUGCCGACUUGGGAUCGGAUGAUGUUAAUUUUUUAAUGACUCAUUCGGCACCUUACG
rnacentral:rRNA from 1 species